rnacentral:ncRNA from 2 species
UAGUAACAUUUGGGGUGCUGCAACGGCUGAGAUGAUACCCAUUGAACCUGAUUCAGUAAAACUGACGGAGGGAAAUGUGACUUGUUGAGU